AACGAACGCUGGCGGCAGGCCUAACACAUGCAAGUCGAACGAAGUCUUCGGACUUAGUGGCGCACGGGUGGGUAACACGUGGGAAUAUACCUUACGCUGGGGGAUAACAUCGGGAAACUGAUGCUAAUACCGCAUACGCCCUUCGGGGGAAAGAUUUAUCGGCGAAAGAUUAGCCCGCGUCCGAUUAGCUAGUUGGUGAGGUAAUGGCUCACCAAGGCUCCGAUCGGUAGCUGGUCUGAGAGGAUGACCAGCCACACUGGGACUGAGACACGGCCCAGACUCCUACGGGAGGCAGCAGUGGGGAAUAUUGGACAAUGGGCGCAAGCCUGAUCCAGCCAUGCCGCGUGAGUGAUGAAGGCCCUAGGGUUGUAAAGCUCUUUCACCCACGACGAUGAUGACGGUAGUGGGAGAAGAAGCCCCGGCUAACUUCGUG
rnacentral:rRNA from 1 species